AGUCGAACGAACCUUCGGGUUAGUGGCGGACGGGUGAGUAACGCGUGAGAAUCUGCCCUCAGGAGGGGGAUAACGGCUGGAAACGGCCGCUAAUACCCCAUAUGCCGAGAGGUGAAAUGAAUUUCGCCUGAGGAUGAGCUCGCGUCUGAUUAGCUAGUUGGUGAGGUAAUGGCUCACCAAGGCUUCGAUCAGUAGCUGGUCUGAGAGGAUGAUCAGCCACACUGGGACUGAGACACGGCCCAGACUCCUACGGGAGGCAGCAGUGGGGAAUUUUCCGCAAUGGGCGAAAGCCUGACGGAGCAACGCCGCGUGAGGGAUGAAGGCCUCUGGGCUGUAAACCUCUUUUAUCAAGGAAGAAGAUCUGACGGUACUUGAUGAAUAAGCCACGGCUAAUUCCGUGCCAGCAGCCGCGGUAAUACGGGAGUGGCAAGCGUUAUCCGGAAUUAUUGGGCGUAAAGCGUCCGCAGGCGGUUUUGAAAGUCUGUUGUUAAAGCGUGGAGCUUAACUCCAUUUCAGCAAUGGAAACUACAAGACUAGAGUGUGGUAGGGGCAGAGGGAAUUCCCGGUGUAGCGGUGAAAUGCGUAGAUAUCGGGAAGAACACCAGUGGCGAAGGCGCUCUGCUGGGCCAUAACUGACGCUCAUGGACGAAAGCCAGGGGAGCGAAAGGGAUUAGAUACCCCUGUAGUCCUGGCCGUAAACGAUGAACACUAGGUGUCGGGGGAAUCGACCCCCUCGGUGUCGUAGCCAACGCGUUAAGUGUUCCGCCUGGGGAGUACGCACGCAAGUGUGAAACUCAAAGGAAUUGACGGGGGCCCGCACAAGCGGUGGAGUAUGUGGUUUAAUUCGAUGCAACGCGAAGAACCUUACCAGGGUUUGACAUCCUGCGAAUCCCUUGGAAACUUGGGAGUGCCUUCGGGAGCGCAGUGACAGGUGGUGCAUGGCUGUCGUCAGCUCGUGUCGUGAGAUGUUGGGUUAAGUCCCGCAACGAGCGCAACCCACGUCUUUAGUUGCCAGCAUUUAGUUGGGCACUCUAGAGAGACUGCCGGUGAUAAACCGGAGGAAGGUGUGGAUGACGUCAAGUCAUCAUGCCCCUUACAUCCUGGGCUACACACGUACUACAAUGCUACGGACAAAGGGCAGCAAACUCGCGAGAGCUAGCAAAUCCCAUAAACCGUGGCUCAGUUCAGAUCGUAGGCUGCAACUCGCCUACGUGAAGGAGGAAUCGCUAGUAAUCGCAGGUCAGCAUACUGCGGUGAAUACGUUCCCGGGCCUUGUACACACCGCCCGUCACACCAUGGAAGUUGGCCACGCCCGAAGUCGUUACUCCAACCCUUGUGGAGGAGGAUGCCGAAGGUGGGGCUGAUGACUGGGGUGAAGUCGUAACAAGGUAGCCGUACCGGAAGGUGC
rnacentral:rRNA from 1 species